GUGAAUCAUCGAAUUUUUGAACGCAAAUUGCACUCUCCUCGAAGAGUAUGCGUGUUUGAGGUUGAGCCUCUAAAAAUCCACAUCGUUGCGGUUUCGCGGUGGCGUUAGUCGGAAGUUGGGUCAUGUUAGAUCUUUUGUUUUUAAGCGACUUAUCUUUUUCUUUUUGGUUCCAUUAACGUUUCUAAAAUUUAUUGCUUUACACUUUUAAGGUAUCGAUUUUUAUUAGACGUGACCAUCAUAUCGCAUCGCGCCCAUAAUCUUUCAGUAACUGACCUCUGA
rnacentral:misc_RNA from 1 species